rnacentral:ncRNA from 1 species
GACUACAGUAAAGCGGUCAGCAGAUGCGGGGAACCCGGUGCGAAGCCGGGACGGCCGCGCCACUGUGAGUCGCCGGGAGGCGGCGAGUCAGGACACCGCGCUGACAGACGUAGGAAUGC